AUUGAACGCUGGCGGCAGGCCUAACACAUGCAAGUCGAACGGUAACAGGAAGCAGCUUGCUGCUUUGCUGACGAGUGGCGGACGGGUGAGUAAUGUCUGGGAAACUGCCUGAUGGAGGGGGAUAACUACUGGAAACAGUAGCUAAUACCGCAUAACGUCGCAAGACCAAAGAGGGGGACCUUAGGGCCUCUUGCCAUCGGAUGUGCCCAGAUGGGAUUAGCUAGUAGGUGGGGUAACGGCUCACCUAGGCGACGAUCCCUAGCUGGUCUGAGAGGAUGACCAGCCACACUGGAACUGAGACACGGUCCAGACUCCUACGGGAGGCAGCAGUGGGGAAUAUUGCACAAUGGGCGCAAGCCUGAUGCAGCCAUGCCGCGUGUAUGAAGAAGGCCUUCGGGUUGUAAAGUACUUUCAGCGGGGAGGAAGGGAGUAAAGUUAAUACCUUUGCUCAUUGACGUUACCCGCAGAAGAAGCACCGGCUAACUCCGUG
rnacentral:rRNA from 1 species